rnacentral:rRNA from 1 species
GACGAACCACACAAACGUUAUUCGGAAUUACUGGGCUUAAAGGGUGCGUAGGCGGCGCGGAAAGUAGGGUGUGAAAUCCCUCGGCUCAACCGAGGAAUUGCGCCCUAAACUACCGUGCUCGAGGGAGAUAGAGGUGAGCGGAACUUAGGGUGGAGCGGUGAAAUGCGCAGAUAUCAGGAGGAACACCGGUGGCGAAGGCGGGUCUCUGGGCCGAUACUGACGCUGAGGAGCGAAAGCGUGGGGAGCGAACAGG